rnacentral:rRNA from 1 species
GGGGAAUAUUGGACAAUGGGCGCAAGCCUGAUCCAGCCAUGCCGCGUGAGUGAUGAAGGCCCUAGGGUUGUAAAGCUCUUUCAGUGGGGAAGAUAAUGACGGUACCCACAGAAGAAGCCCCGGCUAACUUCGUGCCAGCAGCCGCGGUAAUACGAAGGGGGCUAGCGUUGUUCGGAAUUACUGGGCGUAAAGCGCACGUAGGCGGAUUUUUAAGUCAGGGGUGAAAUCCCGGGGCUCAACCCCGGAACAGCCUUUGAUACUGGAGAUCUAGAGUCCGAGAGAGGUGAGUGGAAUUCCGAGUGUAGAGGUGAAAUUCGUAGAUAUUCGGAGGAACACCAGUGGCGAAGGCGGCUCACUGGCUCGGUACUGACGCUGAGGUGCGAAAGCGUGGGGAGCAAAC